AGCGAACGCUGGCGGCAGGCUUAACACAUGCAAGUCGAGCGGGCACUUUCGGGUGUCAGCGGCUGACGGUUGCGUAACGCGUGGUAACGUGCCCUCUGGUUCCGAAUAACUCAGGGAAACUUGAGCUAAUACCGCAUACGCCCUUUUGGGUAAAGGCUUGCUGCCGGAGGAUCGGACCGCGUCGGAUUAGUUUGUUGGUGAGGUAACGGCUCACCAAGGCGACGAUCCGUAGCUGGUCUGAGAGGAUUAGCAGCGACACUGGUACUAAGCCACCGCCCAGAAUCCUACGGGAUGGAGCAGUGGGUGAUAGUGGAAAGUGGGGGGAAGCAUGAACCAGCCAUGACGGGUGAGUGAUGAAAGCAUUAGAGAAGUAAAGCUUUAUUAUCCAGGAAGAUAAUGACGGUACCGGAUGAAUAAGCCCCGGCUAACUUCGUG
rnacentral:rRNA from 1 species